CUACGUAGGUGACAAGCGUUAUCCGGAUUUACUGGGCGUAAAGGGCGUGUAGGCGGUCUUGCAAGUCAGAAGUGAAAUUCCUGAGCUCAACUCGGGCGCUGCUUCUGAAACUGCAGGACUUGAGUGCUGGAGGGGAUAGCGGAAUUCCUAGUGGAGCGGUAAAAUGCGCAGAUAUUAGGAAGAACACCGGUGGCGAAGGCGGCUAUCUGGACAGUAACUGACGCUGAGGCGCGAAAGCGUGGGUAGCAAACAGGAUUAGAUACCCUGGUAGUCCACGCUGUAAACGAUGAUUACUAGGUGUGGGGGGACUGACCCCUUCCGUGCCGCAGUUAACACAAUAAGUAAUCCACCUGGGGAGUACGGCCGCAAGGUUGAAACUCAAAGGAAUUGACGGGG
rnacentral:rRNA from 1 species